AAGAGAGAAAACAGACCAAUGAACACAGACAUUAACCUCUAGUAUCCGACCAAAAAGUUGGUGGCACCAGUAAUAUGCUUGAUCAACACUGCAAAACUUCUGAAAAUGAGUUGCUUAGCAACUGUGGCUUUGGAGGGAGUCUUGGACAGAGAACAGAAGCAUUUUGGAGGUUGCAUCUUCAGAAUUCUGCAGCCAACGUUUUAUUCAUGUACUUGGUGCAGCCCAGCUAUUGUUCGUGGCUUGAAAACAUUUGAGUCAACGUGGUUAAUACUUGUCUCCACUCCACUCCCCUUGCAUCAGGCUGUGUCUACCUCUCAUCUUGAGUGUCCAGAACCUAGCACAGAGGAUCCUGCCAGCCCCCAUUACAAGACAAACCUUGUGUGACUGUCAUCUAUCUUGGCUUGUCAUCUGAAGAGUUACUGCUCAAGAGAGAAAAUAUGGUUAUCUCAAAUGCUGUUUCUUGGGUUGGUAGCGAGCUCACAGUGUUGAGGAGGAUUCUGAGGCUGUAUGCAGGGGUAGUGGGCAGUAACUGCCACAGGUAGCAGAGUAGAAAGGCUCCUUGCCAAGAUUCUUCCUCUCGGGUUUAUUUCUCAUUCUUGGAGCUGAGACUGGCAUCUUUAUUUUUUAUUAUAGACAGAAUGAUGGAUUGUUGGCACCUGACACUGAAGGGUUUAGUAGAUUGUGUGUGUGUGUGUGCAACGAACAUUUGAAACUGGAUGGAGAAAAAUGUGUGGAUUUUAUAGAUUUUGCCCCAGUGACUUCAAAUAAAGGUGACUCACCCAUGAAACAGUGGCCUGAGACAUGUACACACUGGUCUCUAGACUUCAUCCAGCCCCCUUCCUGCUGUCCACCGUCUCUCCCUGGCUCCUUGCAGCCUGCUGGUUGGUGAGGACACUGUGAGUGGUGGUUUUGUGGUUCAUCCUUAGUUGUGACUGUUUUCCUUUGACCUUUACUGCUUCUCCAUAAUAGGAUUUACCUUCUAGCUUCAGGACCUACUGUGAGUGGGGUGAGAUGAGCUGGCUUGACCAUGGUGAUGCAUUUGAGGAGAAAAGUCCUGACGGCUUUUAAAUCAGAGCUUUUAGGAGGUUUCUGUAUUCUCUUAGAAUUGCGCAAAGCCCACAGGACUAUUUUACAACCAGAAAAAGAUACCUUUGCCACCUGCCAGUCUCUCACAGAACAUAAUCCUAUUAGAGUGUGUGUAUGUGUGUAUGUGAGUGAGUUAGGGAACAGGAGAUGCUCUGUCUCCAGCUCCAGCAAAUGGUGGGAUGAUAAUUAUAUGUGUUAAAAUAACACUUUGAAUAGUCUUCAUAUUAAUUGCAAAAAUGAAUAUCCUAUAUAGAAUGCCAUUCCCCAUUUCUAUUUAUUUCCAUGUGAAACUUUCCUCAGGUAAUUUUAAACUGUCAUGGUUAACAGUAUCUGAAUUCGUUCAUUAUAUUCUGGGCAUAUUUUUGACCUGCUUCCCAUGCAAGCUAUCAGAUUGUGAGCAAUAGGAAAAGGCUGGUCAUGGUGUUGCCAGCCUCGCACUUGUAACAGAACAUAAUUAGAAGUAAUGAAUGGAAUAAUACAUCAUUAUUCACAAGAAAUGUCAUGUAAUUAACUCAGAUAAUGCAAAAUAUAUCCUAAUUUCCAUUUGGAAUGAAAAUAGAUUUGUUAGAACAUCAGUAGGCAGUUGAAUGUUUAUCCUAUAUUUUCAUACACAUAUCAAAACUGUUAAAAUCUAUUGAAUGAAUAUACAUGGAUUUUCCACAACACAAUAAGUCAAGAUGGCUUUCUUUUGCUAAUAGAGUCUUAUGUGUAUGCCUUGUUUAUUAUAUAUACAUAAUUUAUAUAUAUGUUCCAGUCUUAGAAUUAGCAUAAUUAAUUUAUAUUUAUUGCAAAUUAAUGAUCUAAUUUAUUUACUUAGCUCCCAUUUCCUUUCUCAAACUAAUAGACUGAAAAAAUAACUAUAAAUUUGCAAACGGAUCUUGGGCACAAAUCCUAAAUUGGCCUUAUCCUCAGAACUCUCUGUAAUAGUAGGUAUCUGAACUAGUUUUGCCAUCUAAAUUGUUUUCCUGAGAUUUCUGUUCCAGGCUUUAAAUAUGCCUCGAGUCUUGGCUUGGUUUAGAUGGACCCACAGCUGGGGAUCAGGGAUAUGGCUGGAUAUGUCUUAGGCAGAGGAAUUCUUUUUAGAUACAGCAAUUAAUAUGACACACAGCAGUGACCAAUGCCCUAAUGUCAGUGUAAUUCCUGGAAGUUCUCUGCUCUGUCACAGCAUCAUCCUGUUAAUUUCUGCUUUGUGGGAAGAUCUGGAGAGACCCAGGGGAAGAGGCAGAGAAGUGUGAGCAGCUCCCAGGAGGCAGUAUGGACAGAACUGUUAUAAUAUUUUAAUAACAGGAAUGGGCACGCCAGUGGAUGCACUCAGUUACAGCCCUGGUUUAGAAAUGAACACUGACAGGAGGAAGCUUCGUUUACAUCCUAUGGCUCAAGCCUGGUGUUUGCUCUUAAACACCAUGCAGACUGGCAUAUAAUAGCAGAGUCACCAGUGAAUUAAAAACAACAAAAUUCUUUCUUUGUUUUAAAUGGCUGGCUUCCUCACAGUGGAAUGGUAACUGCCUAAUACCAUUAUAGGGGAAAGCAUAAGUGUAGCAGGAAAGGAUUGAGGCAGUGGUUUCUUGGUCUGUCUGUCUCAUGUGUGUGAAUGUGGUAGGGAUGAAGAGUAUGUAUAUACAUGAAUUCAACUUGCUUAUAUCUUUUAUGGAAAAUACUGUCAUAGAAAUAAAUUAAUUGAAAGAC